CCCUUAGAUGUUCUGGGCCGCACGCGUGCUACACUGAGUGGAUCAGCGGGUCAGGUUACGCGAGAGCGUUUCCUAAUCUUCAAAUCCGCUCGUGAUGGGGAUUGACGGUUGCAAUUUUCCGUCAUGAACGAGGAAUACCUUGUAAGCGCGGGUCAUCAUCCCGCGCUGAAUACGUCCCUGCCCUUUGUACACACCGCCCGUCGCUCCUACCGAUUGAGUGGUCCGGUGAGGCUUUGGGAUCUAAGCGAAAAGAGCGUUUCGCUCCUUUUGCUGGGAGAACUCAGUCGAACCUUAUCACUUAGAGGAAGGAGAAGUCGUAACA
rnacentral:rRNA from 1 species